UUCCUCACUUCAGCAGCAAAUAUACUGAUUGGAAACAUGGAGAUUAGCAUGAUCCCUGCAUACGGAUGAUAUGCAAAUUCCUGCAUAUUUUUAAAAUUUU
rnacentral:snRNA from 1 species